CGAUAACGAACGAGACCUUAACCUGCUAAGUAGAGAUGCGAACCUGCGUUCGUAAGCUCUUCUUAGAGGGACUGACUACGUUUAGUGGUCGGAAGUUUGAGGCAAUAACAGGUCUGUGAUGCCCUUAGAUGUUCUGGGCUGCACGCGCGCUACACUGACAGAGGCAACGAGUAUACAACCUUGACCGGAAGGUCUGGGCAAUCUUUUUAAACUCUGUCGUGCUGGGGAUAGAGCAUUGCAAUUAUUGCUCUUCAACGAGGAAUUCCUAGUAAGCGCAUGUCAUCAGCAUGCGUUGAUUACGUCCCUGCCCUUUGUACACACCGCCCGUCGCUACUACCGAUUGAAUGGCU
rnacentral:rRNA from 1 species